ACCUGUCCUGUGUUGAGUACUGUGUAUCAGAAAAUUAAGAAUAAAAUCUCUCAUCGUGGUUUUUCUCCCUGAUCUAGGGUUUUCACGUAACUCUGUAUCUUUUCUCUCUUCUACCUUUUUUUCAAUAGAGAGAGAUAAUGGAAUAAUGUUUUCAACAAGAGGAAGAAGUAAAUUUUAUUGAAUUGGUUAUUUUGUUAGUGAUGGCUUAACCUCUGCUUCUUCCAUUAGGAACAUAAAAAACAUUAUUAUGAAUUUUAGGAUUAGACUGUGUACAAUAGUGAUAUGACAAUCUUGAAGUUAUGAUAAUCGUAGUUUUGAUUAAGUGUAAUUGUUUGCAUUAAUCUUUGAUAUCUAGCGACUAAUAGAAGUGAGUGAAAAUUUGGUUCUUCAUAUUAUAACUAUAUUCUAACCCUUAUUUUGUUUUGUUUUUUCUUUUUCCCUUUAGGUGAGAUUUCUUAUAAUCAGACCCUUUCCUAACAAAAAUUUCUCCUAUAAGCAAUGGAAGUUGGCAUUCUACAUGAAAUAUUGAGUUCAAAAGUGAUUUUCAAGCCCUUGAAACAAAAGGAAAAAUGCAGGUGGGUGCCCAUUAUUUUGAGGAGGAAAAUGUUCAAUUAGAUGCAAAGCAUGAAUGCAACGAUUCAACUAUCCUAUAGUUCAUUACCAAUUUGAAAGUUUU